UGGGUUUAGCAGAUUGAACAAAAAUUAAAGCGCAAGUCCUCCUCCAUAACUGUACCGUAGAAAUCUACAACUUCUUUCCUCUGAUUAGGUUUAGGAUAUAAAGCAAAAAUUAGAGCACAAGUCCUCCAUAACCUCAAUUGUACAAAUCUACAACUUCUUUCCUCUAGUUAGUUUUUUUUGGUUUGAAGUUCACACGCUCCUUUCUAUUCGGCUUGUUCCAUCGUUUCCUUAUAGACGAAGAACCAUAUACAUAGGAAGCCCUUUAUGGUUAUUCUUUCAUAGGUUCUUCCGACCUCUGUCAAUUUCUCGAAUUAGUUUGAUUUGAAAGAGAAAUUUGAUUCUUGGAGUUGAUUGCCAGUACAACAAAUCUGAAGGCUGCACUUUGGAGGAUUUUUUUUGGAGCAACCGCGAGCGACCAGGGAGAAAGGACAUGUCUGCUCGAGGAGAUGGACUGACAAAUCAGUAGUUGAGGACUUAUUGUAUGGCUAUGAGGUUCGUAUACUUAUUCUGAUAUUUGUUUAGAAUGCUCAUUAACUGUGAAAUUCCUUUUCGAAAAAUAUAUUGGAAUCCUUUCCUUUUCUAAUACAUGUUAUUUGAUAAUUGGACGGGUGUUUGCAAUAACUAUUCCAUGUUUAUAAGCAAGAUUGUAUUUCAUCUUGAAACAGGGUACGUAAGUCUCAGUUUGUGAUCCCCAUAAUCCAUUCCCUGUUUUGAAUCCUUAACUACAUAAUAAUGGUUCCAACUAUGGUAUUUCUCAUAAUUAAUUUCUCACUAUAGCUUCUGAUAUUUCUCGACAUGGUGAGAUACAUGACGUGAAUGGUGAGAAGGUUGCUGUAAUUUAUUAUGCUGGUGAAAAACAAACCAUGGAAGAAGAGAAAGACGAGAAACCAAGCUUCAAGAUGUGAAACCAUCAAUAUCUUGCUCCUCUGGAUUUUAACUUCCUUAAUUUAUUGGUGUAUUUUUUUUUUCAAAGGUCGUACUUUAAAGCUCCUUCCUUUGAUGUGGUAUUUGGGAAUAGUGAAGGCUAGCUACUAAGCUGCGGACGACAUUGAGGAAUCAAGAUGUGUUUGAAGAUUAGACGUCCAUUCCCAUGGAGACACUACUUUCAAAAAACACAUCGUCUCUUCUUUGUGGUUGAUAGAAAUGACAACAACCAUGUUGUUGAGGCAAGGGACAAGCUUCACAGGGUGUUAAAUGAGGUAAGUACUUUCUGCUUUAUCAGCCCGGGUGCCUCAAGUGUACAUUCUGGAUCAUGCUAAAAAAACUUCCAGUGGAGUAGGUUGUGGGGAUUGGGUACCCAUGCACACUAACUUGUCAGCCACUAGUGGAUUAUACCGUGAAGUACAAGCACUUGCAAUUAUUAAGAAGAUGUGAGUACAACUGAUUUGGUGUUGUAAGCAUCUGUAUAACAUCUAAGAAGCCUCCUUCAAUUUGUAAUGACCUUAGGUGGUAAGAUUUGGCAUAAAGUCCUUGCAGUAGAGCAUGCAUUUUAACAAUAGUUAUGGAUUCUUUUGGGAUUGUUCCAGCAAGUCAGGAAUCCAAUCACUCAAAGUUAAAUGUUUGUUCAGUCUAUUUUGUUAGUUCAAUCAGUCAUAUGUG